GGGUCAUCUUGGAUCUUGCAUGGGAACCACAGGACAGCUGUGGGCCAGGUGGCUCUACCUCUGAAAACUACAAAAACGCCCGGCAUCCUGCUGAUUUCUCUGCUCGUUCUGGGAGUGCCGUUAUGUCUUUCCACAACUGCAGCUGUAUCUUAGUACAUACAUGAUCAAGCUUCCUGACAGCCCAUCCCACCACUGCCUACAAAAGCACACCAGUGCCUGUUAGCUCCAGCUAUCUCUACUCCCACUGGGGCAUCACCAACAUCUGCAGAUUUCUGGGGGAUGCUGGGCCAGAAUUCAUGACUGCUGCACACACCGACUUCUGCUCUCCACCUACCUGUUUUGCACAUGCACAUCUUGGGUUAGAUGGCUCAUUGCGUGCACACCCCACAAAAUGGCAAGGAAUCUGUGGGCUGGCCAUGAAUCCCUAGAUUGGCAGCUGCGGGACAUGGACUGGCCAACCUUAGCUGCUCUUUGAGAUGAUACUACACAGCAGAAGAUUUGCUAUAGUCCCAGUCUGGACCACUUGUCCACCCCUCACCCCCACCCCACCCCACUGAAAGAUAGCUAGUGGCAGGGAGCAGGUAUUCCUUUUGGAUCCCUUCUGGUGUGUAGGAAAAACAGUCUGUAUUAUUUCUUGUAAGCGGCUACCCAUCAGUGCAGUCUUCUCCAGUCAAGAUGUGGAAUUGCAGGGCCACUUAAAUUUCAAGAGAGUUCAAUUUCACCAGCCACUUGUUCUCUGGGUCUUCACAAAACCAUCACUUCCUCUCUGCUUCUGCCAAGCAGCCAAAAGAUGUUUAUGGAACACUCGCCCUGAGUGUACGCUAUUGUGCUAUGGACAGAAAUUUCUCUAAGCACCAUGAAGAUCCAGAGUGAAUCAAUAUGUUGUUUUCCCUCCCUCCCAAUCCUCUCUGGAUGCCACACACUCUUCUCUCCUCAGUAACCACUCACUCAAAGCACCAGGAUCCUUCUGCUCCAACUCCUUCAUAAAGGCAUCCACUGCCAGAAGGCCCUGAUUGAGACCUCAAUAGCCAGGUUGAUUCUGGCCAAGGAUAGAGGAGGGAAGCCAAAGCCAUACUUACUGCAUCUGUUUCUCCAACUGCCACCUGCUCAGAAAAUCGGACUUUCACAGGAUUGGACCUCAGCUUGGCCUUCUUUGCAGCACUGAUGAAGGCAGAUUUGGGGGACUGAAAAAAGAGCAAAGGGCUGUGUGUCAUGGAAGCUAGACAGGCCUUGAACUCACUACGUAGUCAAGGAUGACCUUGGAGUUCUGGUCCUCCUAACACCAGUAUCCAAGUUCUGGGAUUAUAGGCAUGUGCCAUCAUGCCCAGCUUUCAGUUUUAUCUGUGAUUAUAGUGACUGAUUAUUAACUUCAGUUCA